rnacentral:lncRNA from 1 species
AUGGAUAUCAGUCUAGAACAGAAGCCAUCAGAGGCAGUUACCCAGAAAGCAAAGUCUCAGGCAGAGGCAUCUGAACAGGCAAAUUUAAUUGUGGUCAAAAUGGAAGAGGAUCACUCAGUGGCAACUCCAGAGCGUCAGAGAAGUCUUUGCGAGGAGCUAGAUAAACCUCAAACUUGCCUCAGAAUGAAGAAUAUCAGCAACAAUCCUGAGAAUGACUUAGUGCUGCCAGAACAACAAGGAGAGGGGACAGCAUCCCGUUUACAAGACGACCCCUGCGAAAAAACCUCUUUGAUCGAAGCCGCUUCUGUAUUUCCUGAUAUUCCAGAGAAGAGUAUUGGCAAUUGUCAGGACAGGAGCUUCUCUGCAGAGUUGCCUCACAACAAGGGAUUGCUGUGCGAGUCUGUUGUAAACGCAGAACAAAAUAAAACUGAGGCUGUAUCGGACAGCUGGGUUAAAGAAGAAAGCAGUGAAGAUGUGAAUGGGGAACAACAAAGUGUGACUGAUACAGAAGGAAAAAAUGAAACAGCGGAAAACGUAACGGAAUCUUUGUUAAAAAAUCCUGUCACAGCUAAGGAGAACAACUCCCGUGCUCAGGAGACUGCCGAAAAGCAGAGCAGAGGCGGCAGAGCAGCUCGGCAGAGCAGUCCAGGCGGAGACGGCAACGCCGCUCAGCCAAGCGACCGCGGCAGCGGGGGCAACGCUGCGGAACCCAGGGAGCCGCUCGGGAGCGGUGACGUUUUAAACGCAGGCAGCGGGGCCGAGCGAGGCAGCCCUCCCUGCGCUGGCCGAGACGGGGAACACGGCCGCAGCGACAGCCAUGCUUCUGGAAGGGUUUCAGGUGGCUGUACCCCAGCUGUGGAGCUGAAGAUGGAGGUAGAUCUCUCCGAAUCGGAAAACGCACACGCUCCCAGUACAGUUAGUCCGGUUUGCCCGGAAGCCGAGAGCAUGAGUCACCUUGAGAGCUGCAAUACUUUGCUGCAUACAAUGUCUUACAAGGGAGAGGCUGAUAGAGGCAGAGAAGAGGCAGAAGAGGCAGGAAUACUCUCUCUAGGGACCAGCUCAGUGUCUGAACCUGAUUCAACUGUCUCAAUUCAUGGGGAUUCCGUACGGAAGAGGAAACAAGAAGAUCUUCCAGAGGAACAGAAAGAAAAUGGAAGUGAAAAAGUGAGACCUAGCAAAGAGCACUCACGGCUCAGCACAGGCGAGCCAAAUCUUAACAGACUUGGAGAGAAAUUGCCAAAUACAGAGAUCCCACCAGGAAAGAUCCAAAUUCUAGAGGCAGAAGGGAAGCCCACUCCCUGCUCACUCCAGCUCGAUGGAGAAAACGCCAAAGAAACGGCGCUCACUGGAAAAACGAUGGAGCCCAUUCCCACGGAAAGCACUCGCCCCCCUAGCCGCGUUCUUGCACAACUGGAAAAAGGAGCGAUGGCCAGUCACAGCGAAAAAGCUGACGCUAAUUCAGAUGACAGGAAAUUUCUUUCUGCCGCAGAUAAGAAUUUGCCCGGUGGCAUACCUGCAGAUACGAGCCCCGAGGACAAAACCUGUUCAACUGGAGGAGACGAACUUUCUCUAGAAUUAGAAUUGUUGCCUGACAGCGAUUUACAGGCUGUCCUCAAAGACAGCAGCCUCAAAUUUCCACCGCAGCAGGUAAUUUGA